rnacentral:rRNA from 2 species
AAAUUGAAGAGUUUGAUCAUGGCUCAGAUUGAACGCUGGCGGCAGGCCUAACACAUGCAAGUCGAGCGGUAGCACAGAGAGCUUGCUCUCGGGUGACGAGCGGCGGACGGGUGAGUAAUGUCUGGGAAACUGCCUGAUGGAGGGGGAUAACUACUGGAAACGGUAGCUAAUACCGCAUAAUGUCGCAAGACCAAAGUGGGGGACCUUCGGGCCUCAUGCCAUCAGAUGUGCCCAGAUGGGAUUAGCUAGUAGGUGGGGUAACGGCUCACCUAGGCGACGAUCCCUAGCUGGUCUGAGAGGAUGACCAGCCACACUGGAACUGAGACACGGUCCAGACUCCUACGGGAGGCAGCAGUGGGGAAUAUUGCACAAUGGGCGCAAGCCUGAUGCAGCCAUGCCGCGUGUGUGAAGAAGGCCUUCGGGUUGUAAAGCACUUUCAGCGGGGAGGAAGGCGGUGAGGUUAAUAACCUCAUCGAUUGACGUUACCCGCAGAAGAAGCACCGGCUAACUCCGUGCCAGCAGCCGCGGUAAUACGGAGGGUGCAAGCGUUAAUCGGAAUUACUGGGCGUAAAGCGCACGCAGGCGGUCUGUCAAGUCGGAUGUGAAAUCCCCGGGCUCAACCUGGGAACUGCAUUCGAAACUGGCAGGCUAGAGUCUUGUAGAGGGGGGUAGAAUUCCAGGUGUAGCGGUGAAAUGCGUAGAGAUCUGGAGGAAUACCGGUGGCGAAGGCGGCCCCCUGGACAAAGACUGACGCUCAGGUGCGAAAGCGUGGGGAGCAAACAGGAUUAGAUACCCUGGUAGUCCACGCCGUAAACGAUGUCGAUUUGGAGGUUGUGCCCUUGAGGCGUGGCUUCCGGAGCUAACGCGUUAAAUCGACCGCCUGGGGAGUACGGCCGCAAGGUUAAAACUCAAAUGAAUUGACGGGGGCCCGCACAAGCGGUGGAGCAUGUGGUUUAAUUCGAUGCAACGCGAAGAACCUUACCUGGUCUUGACAUCCACAGAACUUUCCAGAGAUGGAUUGGUGCCUUCGGGAACUGUGAGACAGGUGCUGCAUGGCUGUCGUCAGCUCGUGUUGUGAAAUGUUGGGUUAAGUCCCGCAACGAGCGCAACCCUUAUCCUUUGUUGCCAGCGGUCCGGCCGGGAACUCAAAGGAGACUGCCAGUGAUAAACUGGAGGAAGGUGGGGAUGACGUCAAGUCAUCAUGGCCCUUACGACCAGGGCUACACACGUGCUACAAUGGCAUAUACAAAGAGAAGCGACCUCGCGAGAGCAAGCGGACCUCAUAAAGUAUGUCGUAGUCCGGAUUGGAGUCUGCAACUCGACUCCAUGAAGUCGGAAUCGCUAGUAAUCGUAGAUCAGAAUGCUACGGUGAAUACGUUCCCGGGCCUUGUACACACCGCCCGUCACACCAUGGGAGUGGGUUGCAAAAGAAGUAGGUAGCUUAACCUUCGGGAGGGCGCUUACCACUUUGUGAUUCAUGACUGGGGUGAAGUCGUAACAAGGUAACCGUAGGGGAACCUGCGGUUGGAUCACCUCCUUACCUUAAAGAA